rnacentral:rRNA from 1 species
GACGAACGCUGGCGGCGUGCUUAACACAUGCAAGUCGAACGGAAAGGCCCUGCUUUUGUGGGGUGCUCGAGUGGCGAACGGGUGAGUAACACGUGAGUAACCUGCCCUUGACUUUGGGAUAACUUCAGGAAACUGGGGCUAAUACCGGAUAGGAGCUCCUGCUGCAUGGUGGGGGUUGGAAAGUUUCGGCGGUUGGGGAUGGACUCGCGGCUUAUCAGCUUGUUGGUGGGGUAGUGGCUUACCAAGGCUUUGACGGGUAGCCGGCCUGAGAGGGUGACCGGCCACAUUGGGACUGAGAUACGGCCCAGACUCCUACGGGAGGCAGCAGUGGGGAAUAUUGCACAAUGGGCGCAAGCCUGAUCCAGCAAUGCCGCGUGCGGGAAGAAGGCCUUCGGGUUGUAAACCGCUUUUGGCAGGAACGAAACGGUGUCCGCUAAUACCGGGCGCUAAUGACGGUACCUGCAGAAUAAGCACCGGCUAACUACGUG